AUUGAACGCUGGCGGCAGGCCUAACACAUGCAAGUCGAACGAGUGGCGGACGGGUGAGUAAUGUCUGGGAAACUGCCUGAUGGAGGGGGAUAACUACUGGAAACGGUAGCUAAUACCGCAUACCAUCGGAUGUGCCCAGAUGGGAUUAGCUAGUAGGUGGGGUAAAGGCGCACCUAGGCGACGAUCCAUAGCUGGUCUGAGAGGAUGACCGGCCAAACUGGAACUGAGACAAGGUCCAGAAGCCUACGGGAGGCAGCAGAGGGGAAUAUUGCACAAGGGGCGCAAGCCUGAUGCAGCCAUGGCGCGUGUAUGAAGAGGGCCUUCGGGUUGUAAAGUACUAUCGGUGGGGAGGCGUUACCCGCAGAAGAAGCACCGGCUAACUCCGUGCCAGCAGCCGCGGUAAUAC
rnacentral:rRNA from 1 species